GACAGACUCUGAAGAUUCCCCAUGAAAGGC
rnacentral:piRNA from 1 species